rnacentral:rRNA from 1 species
AGUGGCGAACGGGUGAGUAACGCGUAGGCAAUCUGCCUUCUAGAUGGGGACAACAUCCCGAAAGGGGUGCUAAUACCGAAUGUUGUAGUUGGUCUGCAUGGACUAGCUACUAAAGGUGGCCUCUGAAUAUGCUACCGCUAGAAGAUGAGCCUGCGUCUGAUUAGCUAGUUGGAGGGGUAACGGCCCACCAAGGCUUCGAUCAGUAGCCGGUCUGAGAGGAUGAACGGCCACACUGGGACUGAGACACGGCCCAGACUCCUACGGGAGGCAGCAGUGGGGAAUCUUCCGCAAUGGACGAAAGUCUGACGGAGCAACGCCGCGUGAGUGAAGAAGGUUUUCGGAUCGUAAAGCUCUUUCGUCAGGGACGAACGUAUUUCUUGUAAAUAAUGAGAGAUAGUGACGGUACCUGAAUAAGAAGCCACGGCUAACUACGUGCCAGCAGCCGCGGUAAUACGUAGGUGGCAAGCGUUGUCCGGAAUUAUUGGGCGUAAAGCGCGCGCAGGCGGGAUAUCAAGUCUGUCUUAAAAGUGCGAGGCUCAACCUCGUGAGGGGACAGAAACUGGUAUUCUUGAGUGUCGGAGAGGAAAGUGGAAUUCCAAGUGUAGCGGUGAAAUGCGUAGAGAUUUGGAAGAACACCAGUGGCGAAGGCGACUUUCUGGACGAUGUCUGACGCUGAGGCGCGAAAGCUAGGGGAGCGAACGGGAUUAGAUACCCCGGUAGUCCUAGCCGUAAACGAUGGGUACUAGGUGUAGG